AUUGAACGCUGGCGGAAUGCUUUACACAUGCAAGUCGAACGGCAGCACGGACUUCGGUCUGGUGGCGAGUGGCGAACGGGUGAGUAAUGUACCGGAACGUGCCCAGUCGUGGGGGAUAACGUAGUGAAAAUUACGCUAAUACCGCAUACGAUCUAUGGAUGAAAGCGGGGGAUCGCAAGACCUCGCGCGAUUGGAGCGGCCGAUAUCAGAUUAGGUAGUUGGUGGGGUAAAGGCCCACCAAGCCAACGAUCUGUAGCUGGUCUGAGAGGACGACCAGCCACACUGGAACUGAGACACGGUCCAGACUCCUACGGGAGGCAGCAGUGGGGAAUUUUGGACAAUGGGCGAAAGCCUGAUCCAGCCAGUCCGCGUGCAGGAUGAAGGCCCUCGGGUUGUAAACUGCUUUUGUACAGAACGAAAAGGUUUCUACUAAUACUAGGAGCUCAUGACGGUACUGUAAGAAUAAGCACCGGCUAACUACGUGCCAGCAGCCGCAGUAA
rnacentral:rRNA from 1 species